AUAAUCAGAAUCCUGUGAUCACAUGCCCAGCUGACUUCAACUCCGAUACACUCACUGUAUCAUUCCUGGUGGAUGUCACAGACAACGUUGAUCCUGCACCAGCGUUGACCUACGAUCCUCUAGGGCCAGGUUCUACCUUCCCUCUGGGUCCAACGACAGUCACUGUCACAGCCACAGACAGUUCCUCGAACCAUGACUCAUGCACAUUUACUGUUACGGUGACAGAUAAUCAGAAUCCUGUGAUCACAUGCCCAGCUGACUUCACCUCCGAUACACUCACUGUAUCAUUCCUGGUAUAUGUCACAGACAAUGCUGACCCUGCACCAGCGUUGACCUACGAUCCUCUAGGGCCAGGUUCUACCUUCCCUCAUGGUCCAACGACAGUCACUGUCACAGCCACAGACAGUUCCUCGAACCAUGACUCAUGCACAUUUACUGUUAAGGUGACAGUGCCAUGUGGACAUCCAGUG